GGGCGAUUAGCUCAGUGGGAGAGCGCUUUGUUCACGCCGAAGAGCUCACUGGGUCGAACCCAGUAUCGCCCA
rnacentral:tRNA from 3 species